GACUGGUCCGGGGUCACCGAGCGCACGCGGCACCGAACUUCAUUGAUGCUUCGAAAACUACCUGAAACCUACUUUACCUGACGAAGAAAGUAGUCUCCUGAGCGAAUAAGCCUGCGUCUUAGGAUCCCAGGCAGAGAAGGACAUUCCUGGCCAUUUAUAACUCUUGUAGAAAGAGAACGGUGGAGCAGAGCCAACCUACAGUAAAUACUCAGGACCAGUCCUGGCAAGAGACUCUUUGCAGCCCAGCUGGAAACCUUCACCAGCUCCCAGGAAAUGUUGACUGCCAGAGUUCCAGGAAUUUGCAACAUGCUGCAGCAAAGGAGACUGAUCUGCUUGGACUUACUUUUUUUGAAAACAUUGCUGUGUAAACCAAAAUGGCUUUCAAUGUGCAAAGCUAUAGAAAAUAAUACAUUGGUGGUCUUUAUGUUUCACCUCCUAUGUGAAAUCUUCAUUGAUGCCUUCCACCCAGCAACGUUCUACAAAACAGUAAUUCCUUCCACUCUGAAGAUAUGCCAAGACCACAAGAAUUUGAAUGCCACAGAACACCUGCAAAGCAGGCAAAAAGAAAUGAAGACUUGCAAAGGAGGAGGAUGGGCAGGGAGCAUGAGUAUCUUCUUAUCCACUGAUGAUCAAAUAACCACCAUUGGAAAUUCUUCAUUGUCCACACAGAUUAUGAAGUGCACUCAAGAAGUAGUAAGACCUGAAGACCUGACCAAAUUAGAAGGAAAGUCUGCACACAACCAGCAUGGCCAUGCCUGGGAGUUCUGGCUUCACUGUGGCUGAAUUAAGCUUGGGGAAAUGCCUGAAACAUUAGUGCUCUGGAUGGUACUGGUUAGCUGGAGAAUCAGGCUUGGAAGAAGAAGGAACUAAGUGAGCUCUGAAGGACUCAGGAGCACAGAACAGGCUAUGUGGAUGCUGGCUUCUUGGCUGCUGCAAAGAACAAGCUCUGAGGAAUGGAGUCACACUGCAUUUGGGAUCCCAAGUCUCAGAUAAUGUGACUGCAUAGAAGGUGUUGAGGAAGAAGAUCCAGUUUCUUCUUUUACCUCCCACUGGGAGAGCAUGCCAACCACGACAGAGGGCUUACCAGAAAGAAACCAAGGGGCCCUUGACAUCUUAGGGACAUGAG
rnacentral:lncRNA from 1 species